AGUGAACGCUGGCGGUAGGCCUAACACAUGCAAGUCGAACGGCAGCACAGUAAGAGCUUGCUCUUACGGGUGGCGAGUGGCGGACGGGUGAGGAAUACAUCGGAAUCUACUUUUUCGUGGGGGAUAACGUAGGGAAACUUACGCUAAUACCGCAUACGACCUACGGGUGAAAGCAGGGGAUCUUCGGACCUUGCGCGAUUGAAUGAGCCGAUGUCGGAUUAGCUAGUUGGCGGGGUAAAGGCCCACCAAGGCGACGAUCCGUAGCUGGUCUGAGAGGAUGAUCAGCCACACUGGAACUGAGACACGGUCCAGACUCCUACGGGAGGCAGCAGUGGGGAAUAUUGGACAAUGGGCGCAAGCCUGAUCCAGCCAUGCCGCGUGGGUGAAGAAGGCCUUCGGGUUGUAAAGCCCUUUUGUUGGGAAAGAAAAGCAGCAGGUUAAGACCCCGCUGUUCUGACGGUACCCAAAGAAUAAGCACCGGCUAACUUCGU
rnacentral:rRNA from 1 species